AGUUAAUAAAACUAUUGACCUUCAAAGUCAAAAAU
rnacentral:tRNA from 1 species